GCGGCAUUCUUCGUGAUUUCGGGUCUCUCCCUUAACCCCUUUCCUGCGUUCUCCGUGAUUUCGGACCUCCCGCACCCUACUCUCUCUUACCCUCUCUCCUUUUCUCUCUGAGAUGUGGGGCUUAUUCUUCUCCACACCCUACUCUCUCUUACCCUCUCUCCUUCUCAACGAACCCUAACUCUCUCUCUCUUUCUUUUCUAGCCGCCUCUGCAGAUUUUUCGGGAUUUCUCUGUCCCUCUCAACAAACCCUAGGUUCGCCUAGGCUCUCUCCACCGACCUCCCCUGUAGGGGUCGUACCUUACACCGCUCAACCGCAGCUUCACCAAACCGAAUUUUCGGAUCGUGGGUCCCAUCGAGCGCUAUUUUUUUUUUUUUACCCUGUAGACCUCUACCAUUCGCCUCCCCUCUCUCUCUCUCUCUCUCUCUCUCCGUACGCCUCCGCCGCCUACGCGCCGCCUCCGCCUCUGCCUUAUACUACUUUCCCCCACCCCAACUGAGGAAGGGAAUCGAGCUCGCUCUCUCGAGCUCGCGCUCGCGGAGUAAACCCUAGAUUUUUUAUCCGUUGAGAUCGCGGAGAGCAUGGCCGGGAUCCGCGUCUCCAUGGACGUCGGAGGCGACGGGUUCGCCGUGAUCGCUAUCUCCAACACCCCCGUGAACGCGCUGCAUCCCGCGAUUUUUCUCCAAUCCUGCCCCAUGGAGUAACGCGCGCACUCCUACAAGUCUCCUCGAAAGUGUUCCGCAUCGAAACCACCGGCAUAGUAAAAACCGUAUAAAGGCCUCUUCUUUGGGCUUCUUCUAGGGUUUCGCACCCUGGAGGUCGGGGGUAAUGGAGAGGGGAGUGAGGAGAUGGUUGGUGAACAUCUCUACGUGGGAUCCCUCCGAGCGGCGCUUUGCCUCUCUCGCUUCUCUUCUCCCUCCGCAUGAGCGCCCUGCAAUCAUGAGGUUUGUAAAGGUUGAUGACAGGAAACGAGCACUUGUCAGUCGAUUGCUUCAGUAUGUGCUCGUGCGUGAAGUUCUUGGUAUUCCAUUUGACAAAAUAACCUUGAGCCGUACAAUUGAGGGAAAACCCUAUUUGAAUAAUGAAGAUAAUGUGGUAUUUCCAAACUUCAAUUUCAAUGCAUCACAUCAUGGGGAUUAUGUUGGCAUAGCAUCUGAGCCACGCUGUCUUGUUGGCUUGGAUAUUGUUAGUGUUUCCAAGCCUCAGAAAGAAGAAGUUUUAGAGUUCAUUGAUAGCUUCUCAUCGUACUUCACAGUUUUAGAAUGGAAGAACAUCCUUCAAUCAAGCUCUUCUGAUGAAAUCUUGAUCGAGUUCUACAGAUACUGGUGUCUCAAAGAGGCGUUUGUAAAAGCAGUAGGUGCUGGAUUGGGCUUUGGAUUGCACAGAUUGGAAUUCCAUCACGCAAGGUGGACAAAUAUAUCUGUCUGUAUAGAUGGAGCAGAAUCUAAAGAUUGGAGAUUUUGGCUUUUUGAACUCGAUGAGAGGCAUUUGGCAUCUAUAGCAAAAGGACAUCCAAGGGAAGCCGUUGAGACAUAUCGACAAACAUUGACGAAGGUGGACUUUGAGGAGGGGGAGUUCCAGUGCGCUCUUCAGCUUCCAGAACAUGGUUUCACUUCAUUUACAGUUGAUCAACUAGACCCAAAGGAAAAUUAAUGAUGAUGGGUUUUGAGCUGAGUAAGGAGCAGAGCUCUUGGAGGAACCUCACUUGUGUUCUAUCAAGUUAGAGCAUAGUAGAGGUAAGAUUUGAUCUUUUGGAGAUAUGUAUUAAAAGGGUUUUUAGGAUGAUUUCCUUAGUGCUAAUGGUAUUAAGAGAGUUUUAGAGGCGGUUAUGUUAGGGUUGAAUCUUGACUGAGAAUUUAUAUAUGAAACCCCCUUGUUUAGGGUUGGUUUGAGAAUAAGAGAGCUUAGAUUGGGACUACUACGAGUUUCAACAUUAUUUGCCAUCGUCGUCGGCAGGUGAUCGUGGCAAAGGUAUUGCAAGCUAGGUAGCACCCCGUCCUGGACGAGCUCUAGUGGAGUGACUGUUAUGUUGCAAUGAGAAGAAGGAUUUUCCUUCAAAUUGAAGGGAUUUUGGAGGAUACUUUUGGAAAAGGAAAUCCAUUUUCAAGUUGAGACCCUAGCUAGAGAACAAAGUAAGUAGAUCUUUAGUUUUGUACUUUGUGAAUAUCAAAGGAUAAAUAUUUUGGGUUGCAUACACGUUUUUCUAUUUUCUUUGAAGGUCCCAAGCUAUUCUUUAUGGAUUGGAUAUAGUUUUGGAAAAUUUUGUAGCAUUAUAUUCACUUAUUGAAGCUCCAAAUAGAGGAUUUUUGCCUUAUUACGGGAUUUGAUUGUAAUCUUAGGGUAUGGACCCUAAGAGGCCGAAAUGAGGAUUUUGAUCAAUAAUUUUUAGUUCUUUCUAUUUGAAUUUGGGGGCCAAUGCAUGAUUAUAUGAAUUGCCUUUAUUUUUGAGA